GACGAACGCUGGCGGCAUGCCUAACACAUGCAAGUCGAGCGAGCUGAUUCCUUCGGGAUGAAGCUAGCGGCGGACGGGUGAGUAACACGUGGGCUACCUGCCUCAUAGAGGGGAAUAGCCUUCCGAAAGGAAGAUUAAUACCGCAUAAGAUUGCAUCUUCGCAUGAAGAAGCAAUUAAAGGAGCAAUCCGCUAUGAGAUGGGCCCGCGGCGCAUUAGCUAGUUGGUGAGGUAACGGCUCACCAAGGCGACGAUGCGUAGCCGACCUGAGAGGGUGAUCGGCCACAUUGGGACUAAGACACGGCCCAGACUCCUACGGGAGGCAGCAGUGGGGAAUAUUGCACAAUGGGGGAAACCCUGAUGCAGCAAUGCCGCGUGAGUGAUGACGGCCUUCGGGUUGUAAAGCUCUGUCUUCGGGGACGAUAAUGACGGUACCCGAGGAGGAAGCCACGGCUAACUACGUGCCAGCAGCCGCGGUAA
rnacentral:rRNA from 1 species